rnacentral:rRNA from 1 species
UACAGAGGUCUCGAGCGUUGUUCGGAUUCAUUGGGCGUAAAGGGUGCGUAGGUGGCGCUGUAAGUCGGGUGUGAAAUCCUGGGGCUUAACCCCGGAACUGCAUUCGAUACUGCAGUGCUUGAGGACUGGAGAGGAGACUGGAAUUCAUGGUGUAGCAGUGAAAUGCGUAGAGAUCAUGAGGAAGACCAGUGGCGAAGGCGGGUCUCUGGACAGUUCCUGACGCUGAAGCACGAAGGCCAGGGGAGCAAACGGG